rnacentral:rRNA from 1 species
UACGUAGGGGGGCUAGCGUUGUCCGGAAUCAUUGGGCGUAAAGAGCGUGUAGGCGGUUUUACAAGUCCGCUGUGAAAAACUCGAGGCUCAACCUCGAGCUGUCGGUGGAAACUGUAAGGCUAGAGUCCGGAAGAGGAGAGUGGAAUUCCUGGUGUAGCGGUGAAAUGCGCAGAUAUCAGGAGGAACACCAAUGGCGAAGGCAGCUCGCUGGGACGUGACUGACGCUGAGACGCGAAAGCGUGGGGAGCAAACAGG